UACAAUAUACAGUAAGUGCAUGGUUUGAGGAAGGCUUAUUCAGAUAAACUAUUGUCAGACAACCUGAAUGUAUCUUCGAAUCCAGGCCAGGAUCAAGGAGUUGUAAUGGCGGGACAAGGAUUUCAAGGUGCACUGAGGGUCAUGCUCCUUGUGGGUUUCCUUGGACUAACAAAAGAGUUUGAACUUCAGGACAAAGACUGGGACAAUUUGAGGUCUGAUGUGGCUGCUCUGCACAGAUUGAAAGGAUUACCUGAUCAAAUGACACGUAGGAACACAGGAGCAGACACCACAGCGAUAACAAUGCACGGGACCAGGACAAAGAGAUUCAGCAAUUACAGGUCAUAUCUGGAGAAAAAGCCCAUGGCUUUAUUUGAUGGUUUUAGGGGAUGUGACAAUUUUACAACAUGCGUCAUUCAAAUGGACCAGGUAAGAAAGUUUCUGUUAUGCUGCAUGUAUGAAUAGUUAUUUAUGAGCUAUAAUUGUAAAUCUGGUACAGACAUGUACAGUUACAGUAGCAUAUCUUUAUUAAUAGUUAUUCCAUUCAUUUAAUUUAAAGGGGCAAACUGGGAUUGGUAGGCUACAUCAAUUUUUUGACUUUCAAACGAAUAAUAUAUAGGCUAAUCACUAUAGCGGCACACCCCGCCGUACGGGCGGUAAAUCAUUAGAUCUGAUUAAUUCAAUCUUUGAUGACUGUAACCAUGAAAGGGGUUCACAGGAUGAAAGAAAGGACUCAAGAUCAGUUGGAUAACAAAGCAAGCAUUCUAUCAUGUAGGAACUACCUUCCUUUAGGUGCAAUCAUGAUUGUAAAUACAAAAUCUGGAGUGAAUCUGACGUAUGGUUCAUGAGGAGAAGAUGAUUUUGAGCAUUAGCGUUAAAUAUGCAAAGAAUGAGUUCUUAAUAGUUUCCUUGUUUUUUGAGAUAUCAAAACUGUUAGAUUCUAAAUAACCAGAGUAAAAACCUACGGACAACUAGUAAAGCUCAAACCAAGUUUAUUUACUCACUGGGUCACACAUCUGCAUAAGACAUGUUCCCACCAGCACAAGUAUAUACAGUUG